GAUGAACGCUAGCGGGAGGCUUAACACAUGCAAGUCGAGGGGUAAAUGGUAGCAAUACUAUGAGACCGGCGGACGGGUGCGUAACGCGUAUGCAACAUACCUUGUGCAGGGGGAUAGCCCGUGGAAACGUGGAUUAAUAUUCCAUAGUCCAGCUAUAUCGCAUGGUAUAGUUGGUAAAGAUUUAUCGGCACAAGUUUGGCAUGCGUCUGAUUAGCUUGUUGGUAGGGUAACGGCCUACCAAGGCUACGAUCAGUAGGGGUUCUGAGAGGAUUAACCCCCACACUGGUACUGAGACACGGACCAGACUCCUACGGGAGGCAGCAGUGAGGAAUAUUGGUCAAUGGGCGGAAGCCUGAACCAGCCAUCCCGCGUGAAGGAAGACAGCCUUACGGGUUGUAAACUUCUUUUCUGUCAGAAGAAUAAGCUUGUCGAGACGAGUGAUGCCGGUAUGACAGGAAUAAGCAUCGGCUAACUCCGUGCCAGCAGCCGCGGUAAAACG
rnacentral:rRNA from 1 species